GGGUUGUGAGGUUAAGCGACUAAGCGUACACGGUGGAUGCCCUGGCAGUCAGAGGCGAUGAAGGGCGUGCUAAUCUGCGAUAAGCGCCGGUAAGGUGAUAUGAACCGUUAUAACCGGCGAUACCCGAAUGGGGAAACCCAGUGUGACUCGUCACACUAUCAUUAACUGAAUCCAUAGGUUAAUGAGGCGAACCGGGGGAACUGAAACAUCUAAGUACCCCGAGGAAAAGAAAUCAACCGAGAUUCCCCCAGUAGCGGCGAGCGAACGGGGAGGAGCCCAGAGCCUGAAUCAGCAUGUGUGUUAGUGGAAGCGUCUGGAAAGGCGCGCGAUACAGGGUGACAGCCCCGUACACAAAAGCGCAUGUGCUGUGAGCUCGAUGAGUAGGGCGGGACACGUGGUAUCCUGUCUGAAUAUGGGGGGACCAUCCUCCAAGGCUAAAUACUCCUGACUGACCGAUAGUGAACCAGUACCGUGAGGGAAAGGCGAAAAGAACCCCGGCGAGGGGAGUGAAAAAGAACCUGAAACCGUGUACGUACAAGCAGUGGGAGCACCCUUUGGGUGUGACUGCGUACCUUUUGUAUAAUGGGUCAGCGACUUAUAUUCUGUAGCAAGGUUAACCGAAUAGGGGAGCCGGAGGGAAACCGAGUCUUAAUUGGGCGUUAAGUUGCAGGGUAUAGACCCGAAACCCGGUGAUCUAGCCAUGGGCAGGUUGAAGGUUGGGUAACACUAACUGGAGGACCGAACCGACUAAUGUUGAAAAAUUAGCGGAUGACCUGUGGCUGGGGGUGAAAGGCCAAUCAAACCGGGAGAUAGCUGGUUCUCCCCGAAAGCUAUUUAGGUAGCGCCUCGUGAAUUCAUCUCCGGGGGUAGAGCACUGUUUCGGCUAGGGGGCCAUCCCGGCUUACCAACCCGAUGCAAACUGCGAAUACCGGAGAAUGUUAUCACGGGAGACACACGGCGGGUGCUAACGUCCGUCGUGAAGAGGGAAACAACCCAGACCGCCAGCUAAGGUCCCAAAGUCAUGGUUAAGUGGGAAACGAUGUGGGAAGGCCCAGACAGCCAGGAUGUUGGCUUAGAAGCAGCCAUCAUUUAAAGAAAGCGUAAUAGCUCACUGGUCGAGUCGGCCUGCGCGGAAGAUGUAACGGGGCUAAACCAUGCACCGAAGCUGCGGCAGCGACACUGUGUGUUGUUGGGUAGGGGAGCGUUCUGUAAGCCUGCGAAGGUGGCCUGUGAGGGUUGCUGGAGGUAUCAGAAGUGCGAAUGCUGA
rnacentral:rRNA from 1 species